AGUGAACGCUGGCGGUAGGCCUAACACAUGCAAGUCGAACGGCAGCACAGUAAGAGCUUGCUCUUACGGGUGGCGAGUGGCGGACGGGUGAGGAAUACAUCGGAAUCUACUUUUUCGUGGGGGAUAACGUAGGGAAACUUACGCUAAUACCGCAUACGACCUACGGGUGAAAGCAGGGGAUCUUCGGACCUUGCGCGAUUGAAUGAGCCGAUGUCGGAUUAGCUAGUUGGCGGGGUAAAGGCCCACCAAGGCGACGAUCCGUAGCUGGUCUGAGAGGAUGAUCAGCCACACUGGAACUGAGACACGGUCCAGACUCCUACGGGGGGCAGCAGUGGGGAAUAUUGGACAAUGGGCGCAAGCCUGAUCCAGCCAUACCGCGUGGGUGAAGAAGGCCUUCGGGUUGUAAAGCCCUUUUGUUGUGAAAGAAAAGCAGCAGGUUAAUACCCCGCUGUUCUGACGGUACCCAAAGAAUAAGCACCGGCUAACUUCGUG
rnacentral:rRNA from 1 species